AGUGAACGCUGGCGGUAGGCCUAACACAUGCAAGUCGAACGGCAGCACAGUAAGAGCUUGCUCUUACGGGUGGCGAGUGGCGGACGGGUGAGGAAUACAUCGGAAUCUACUUUUUCGUGGGGGAUAACGUAGGGAAACUUACGCUAAUACCGCAUACGACCUACGGGUGAAAGCAGGGGAUCUUCGGACCUUGCGCGAUUGAAUGAGCCGAUGUCGGAUUAGCUAGUUGGCGGGGUAAAGGCCCACCAAGGCGACGAUCCGUAGCUGGUCUGAGAGGAUGAUCAGCCACACUGGAACUGAGACACGGCCCAGACUCCUACGGGAGGCAGCAGUGGGGAAUAUUGGACAAUGGGCGCAAGCCUGAUCCAGCCAUACCGCGUGGGUGAAGAAGGCCUUCGGGUUGUAAAGCCCUUUUGUUGGGAAAGAAAAGCAGCAGGUUAAUACCCCGCGGUUCUGACGGUACCCAAAGAAUAAGCACCGGCUAACUUCGUG
rnacentral:rRNA from 1 species